rnacentral:tRNA from 1 species
AGAAACUUAGGUUGCACCAAACCAAGAGCCUUCAAAGCCCUAAACAAGAAUAAUCAAACAUCUUAGUUUCUG